GUCUAUGGCCAUGCCACCCUGAACAUGCCCAAUCCCAUCUGAUCUAGGAAGCUAAGCAGGGUCGGGCCUGGUUAGUACUUGGACGGGAGACCGCCUAGAAAGACCAGGUGCUGUAGGCG
rnacentral:rRNA from 1 species